rnacentral:piRNA from 1 species
UGAUUUUGAAUUCUCUUUCUGAUAGGCUA